UCAACCUCCCAAAGUGCUGGGUUUAGAGGCAUGAGCCAGCAUACUUGGCCUGAAGUUUUAAAAAACCUUCCAGUGUACAGGGGACUUGAGGUUAUCCGUCUAUUUUUACUUUCUUGUGUCUAAUAUCUUAUUGUCUAAUGUUUCCAAUAUUGUGAUCAGAUAAAAUGGCUUGUGAUAAUUCUUUGCUAUCUGCUAAGAAUUGCUUAGUGGCAGAUUAUGUUAUCAAUAUUUGAUAAUAUUCUAUAUGACCUUGAAAAGCAUCUGUGCUCACUUCUUGGUGGAUGCAUAUAUAUGUGUUAUAUAUAUUUCCAUAUUAGAUUAGGCUUGUUAAUAGUGUCAAUCAAAUCUUAUAAAUCCUUACUGUAUUUGUAUUCUUGAUCUCUAAAUUACUGAAAGACAUGUUAAGAUCUUCUGUAAUUGUGGAUUUGUUUAUUUCUCUCUGAAUGAUUUUCUCACAGUUCUGGAGACUGGAAGUCUAAGAUAACAGUGCCGGAAGGUUUGGUUUCUUCUGGAGCCUCUCUCCUUGGUCUGCAAAUGUCUGCCUUCUUGCUACAUUCUUGCAUGGCCUUUCUUCUGUGCAUGCACAUCUUCGGUGUCUCUCCUUAUUCUUAUAAGGACAGCAGUCAUGUUGGGUUAGGAUCCUGUCCUUAUAACCCCAUUUAUUUAACCUUAAUUACCUCUUUAAAGGCCCUGUCUCCAAAUAGAGUCACCCUGGGGGAUUAGGGUUCAACGUAUGAAUUUGGAGGGGACGCAGUUUUGUCCAUAACAGGUUGUUUCUAGUUUUUGGCCAUGAGGAAUAUAGUAUCUGUGAGCAUUGUGUUCAAGUCUAUGUGCGCAUGUAAGUUUUCAUUUUUCUUGGAUAAAUAACUAGGAGUGGAAUUGCUGGAUUAUAUGGUAAGUAUGCUUAACUUUGUAAAAACCUGACAAAUUGAAUAAAUAAUAUCUAGUAUUUGAUAGUACAACAGGGUGACUAUAGUCAAUAGUAAUUUAUUGUACAUUUAAAAAUAACUAAAAGUAUAAUUGUAUUAUUUGUAACACAAAGGAUAAAUGCUGGAGGAGAUGGAGACAAAAAACAAACAAGAAACCAAAGUGGUUGCAUCACUGUACACUCCCACUUGCACUGUGUGAUGGUUCGAGUUGCUCUAAAUCUUCUUCUCCCACACUUGGUAUUGUUAAUAGAUGAAUAAGGUUGUCACAUUAGUAUUUUAGUUUGCCUUUUCCUCAUGACAAAUGAUGUUGAAUAGCUUUUCACAUGCUUAUCGGUCAUGAAUCUAUCUUCUUUUGUGAGAUAGCUGUUCAGAUCUAUUGCCUAUCUUUUUAUUGGCAUGUUUAUCUUCUUGUUAUUAAGUUGUAGUUAUUUUUUGAACAUUUUAAAUUUUGGAUAUUUUCUCCCAGUCGUUGGUUUGCCUUUCUGUUUUCUUAAUAAAAUCAUUCUAAGAACAGAAGUUUUACUUCUGUUUUUGAUGAAGUCCAGUUUACCAAUUUUCUUUUUAUACUUUGUACUUCUGUAUCCUGAUAAAUCUUUGCAUGCACCAAGGUGCAUAGACUUUUUUUAGAAAUUUUAUAUUUUUAGAUUUUAUGUUUAGAUCUGUGCUACAAUCGAAUUAAUACUUGUGUAUGAUGUAAGGGAAGGGUCAAGGUUCAUUUUUUCCCAUACAGAUACGAAGUCAUCCAGCACCACUUAUUGAAAAGACUUAUUUCAUCAUUGAAUUGUCUACAAAAUUUUCAAAAAAAUCAAAUGAUCAUAUAUGUGUGGAUCUGUUUCUGUCCUCUCUUCUGGGUAUACAUCUAUCCUUAGCCAGUAACCCAGUGACUUGAUUAAUAUAUCUUUAUGGUAGAUCUUGAAUGAGUUAGUUAAGUCCUCCAAAUGUGUUCUUUUCCCCAAACGUUUGGCUACUAUGGUUCCUCUGCAUUUCCACAUACAUUUAGAAUGAUCAUAUCAUUUUCUACAGAAAAAAACCCUACUUGGGGUUUGAUUAGCAUUAUUUUGAAUAUACAGAUCAGUCUGGGAAGAGUUGAGAUUUUAACAAUAUUGAGUCUUCCAAUCCAUAAACAUAGUGUAUCCACUCAUUUAUUUAUUUAGGUACAGGUCUUUUAUUUCUCUGAACAAUGUUUUGUACUUUUCAGUGUACAGCUAUUAAAUAUAUUUUGUUAAAUGUAUCCCAUAUUAUCUCAUGAGUUUUUUUAUGGCUCUUAUAGAAUAUCUCAUGAGUUUUUACAAUGCCGUUGUAAAAAUGAUAUUUUAUUCUUGAAUUUUUUGUUCCAGGUUUUGAUAGCCUAUACACAAAAGUAGAAUAGAAUUUUGUGACCUUUUAUUCUGUAACAUUGCUUAAAUUCAAUGUUUUAAUCCUAGUAGGUUUUUGUAGAUUUUAAAAGGAUUUUCUACAUAUGCAAUUAUGACCUAAAUAUAUAAAGAUAGUUUUACUGCUUCUCUUUUACUCUUCUCAGAAUGCCCUUUUCUUCUGCCUAGUACUUCAGACAUCAGGAUUGAAUAAAAGUGGUGCUUAUAGGUCAUUGGUUUUAGCCCAUUCUUCUUUUCCAAACAUUUAAGUAGGAACUCUGCCUGGCUUUAUUCCCCCACCAGUUUUAUUAAGGUAUAAUCUACCAAAUAAAAAAUGGUAUUUAUUUACAGUGUACAAUGUGAUAUU